rnacentral:rRNA from 1 species
GGCGAACGGGUGAGUAACACGUUGGUGACCUACCCCAAAGAGGGGGACAACCAUUGGAAACGAUGGCUAAUACCCCAGAUGUAUUACUGUUUAGAAAAGUAAUACUAAAGCUCCGGCGCUUUGGGAGGGGCCUGCGGUCCAUCAGCUUGUUGGUAGGGUAAUGGCCUACCAAGGCAGAGACGGAUAGGGGGCGUGAGAGCGUGGCCCCCCACACUGGUACUGAGACACGGACCAGAUACCUGCGGGUAGCAGCAGCAAGGAAUAUUGCGCAAUGGGCGAAAGCCUGACGCAGCAACACCGCGUGGAGGAUGAAGGCCUUCGGGUCGUAAACUCCUUUUCUGGGGGAAGAGAAAGGACGGUACCCCAGGAAUAAGUCUCGGCUAACUACGUGCCAGCAGCCGCGGUAAAACGUAAGAGGCGAGCGUUAUCCGGAUUUAUUGGGCGUAAAGCGCAUGUAGGCCGUUUUUUAACUCGGACGUGAAAGCUCCUGGCUCAACUGAGAGAGGUCGUUCGAGACUGGAAUACUUGACGAUGGUACAGGAGAGUCGAAUUCACGGUGUACUGUGAAA